GGGGCGUUAGCUCAACAGGAUAGAGCAACGGCCUUCUAAGCCGUCGGUUAGGGGUUCGAGUCCCUUACGUCCCGCCA
rnacentral:tRNA from 1 species